rnacentral:lncRNA from 1 species
UCGCGUCACCAACAUCGGCGACUCAUGCUCAAUCCUCCACCUCUCGACCUAAAGAGGCCACACACACACACAAAUACUAUCGUCUCGCGUCACCAACAUCGGCGACUCAUGCUCAAUCCUCCACCUCUCGACCUAAAGAGGCCACACACGCACACAAAUACCAUCGUCUCGCGUCACCAACAUCGGCGACUCAUGCUCAAUCCUCCACCUCUCGACCUAAAGAGGCCACACACACACACAAAUACCAUCGUCUCGCGUCACCAACAUCGGCGACUCAUGCUCAAUCCUCCACCUCUCGACCUAAAGAGGCCACACACACACACAAAUACCAUCGUCUCGCGUCACCAACAUCGGCGACUCAUGCUCAAUCCUCCACCUCUCGACCUAAAGAGGCCACACACACACACACAAAUACCAUCGUCUCGCGUCACCAACAUCGACGACUCAUACUCACUCCUCCAUCUCUCGAC